AGACACUGACCCCUACCUGUCAUUCGGUGUACUACAGGCAUCUCAGACAUUAUUGCAUUUCAUGUAAAAAUCACCGAACCACUGCAUUUGCGCCUACACACUGACCCCUACCGGUCAUUCGGUGUACUAUAGGCUUCUCAGACAUUAUUGCAUUUCAUGUACAAACCAACGAACCACGGCAUUUUCGCCUUCAUGCUGACCCCUACUGGUCAAUCGGUAUACUACAGGCUUCUCAGACUUUAUUUCACUUCAUAAGCAAACAAACUAAC